UACGUAGGGUGCGAGCGUUGUCCGGAAUUAUUGGGCGUAAAGAGCUCGUAGGCGGUCUGUCGCGUCGGCUGUGAAAUCCCGAGGCUCAACCUCGGGUCUGCAGUCGAUACGGGCAAACUAGAGUAUUGCAGGGGAGACUGGAAUUCCUGGUGUAGCGGUGAAAUGCGCAGAUAUCAGGAGGAACACCGGUGGCGAAGGCGGGACUCUGGGCCGAUACUGACGCUGAGGCACGAAAGCGUGGGGAGCAAACAGG
rnacentral:rRNA from 1 species